rnacentral:rRNA from 1 species
UGAGGAAUAUUGGUCAAUGGAGGAAACUCUGACGCAGUGACGCCGCGUGCAGGAAGAAGGUUUUCGGAUUGUAAACUGCUUUAGACAGGGAAGAAUAAAGACAGUACCUGUAGAAUAAGCUCCGGCUAACUACGUGCCAGCAGCCGCGGUAAUACGUAGGGAGCAAGCGUUAUCCGGAUUUAUUGGGUGUAAAGGGUGCGUAGACGGGAAAACAAGUUAGUUGUGAAAUCCCUCGGCUUAACUGAGGAACUGCAACUAAAACUAUUUUUCUUGAGUGUUGGAGAGGAAAGUGGAAUUCCUAGUGUAGCGGUGAAAUGCGUAGAUAUUAGGAGGAACACCGGUGGCGAAGGCGACUUUCUGGACAAUAACUGACGUUGAGGCACGAAAGUGUGGGGAGCAAACAGGAUUAGAUACC